ACUUUCAUCCGCUAUUAGAAGCUACAUCGCAAAUAUUAGUCAAGAACACACAACAACAAUUAUUAAAAUAACACAAAUGCUGCCAAACAUUGCCAAAAACAAAAAAUAGUUGUGUUUAUCUUUAAAAUAUUCAGUUUACACACAACAGAAACAAGAAAAACCCAAUGAGCUAGCAUGCUAAAUAGUAACAUCAAAUCGGCUAACAACAACAAUCAAGUUCCUUUCCUUGUAUCAAGUCUUUUUAAACAUAUAUAAACGAGCCAAAACUGAGAUUUGGGACGCAAAUGUAUUUGUCUCUCUUUGGGUUUAAAUAACAGCUUUCUGUUUAGCCCAAACGUGCCAAAUCUCCGGCCACUGACCUGGUCUUGUCCCGACUUGUCUCGAGGUUGUAUCCCAGAAUGAGCGAUGGAGAAGAAGUACCAAGAGGUCAAACGAGUUUCUACCCGUCCACGCCGCGCUCUACCGCCCACCGUACAGGUGAAUCUUGACAAACGAAAUGGUCUCAUAAUAGUCUUUGUGGCCCUUCUCGUAUACGACAAAAACAAACUUCUGGUCUUCUACGGAGCCGGUGUCCAGAGACGACAUGCAGGAGUACCCGCUCGGCCCCGCCCAUAUCUGCACGGCUGUUUUCUCCCAGGACGAGCCGUUCGUCAGCGACCAUCGUAGUGUCAGGUUCACUCCUGAAGCGGGACAAAUAAAAAAGUUUUAAAAUCC